CCCCGCGCUCCUCCGGGCAGAGCGCGUGUGGCGGCCGAGCACAUGGGCCCGCGGGCCGGGCGGGCUCGGGGCGGCCGGGACGAGGAGGGGCGACGACGAGCUGCGAGCAAAGAUGUGCCCCGGGACCCCCGGCACCUUCCAGUGGAUUUCCUUGCGGAAAGGAUGUUGGCGGUCCCUGUGACCUGUGGAGACACGGCCAGAUCUGCCCUCCAGCCUGAUCUUUUGGCCAGAAGGAGAUUAAAAAGAUGCCCCUCAAGAUGGCUGUGCCUGUCAGCUGCAUGGAGCUUCGUUCAAGUAUUUUCUGAGCCUGAUGGAUUUACAGUGAUCUUCAGUGGUCUGGGGAAUAACGCUGGUGGAACCAUGCACUGGAAUGACACACGCCCGGCACAUUUCAGGAUACUAAAAGUGGUUUUAAGGGAGGCUGUGGCUGAAUGCCUCAUGGAUUCUUACAGCUUGGAUGUCCAUGGGGGACGAAGGACUGCAGCUGGCUGAGAGGGUUGAGAUCUCUGUUUACUUAGAUCUCUGCCAACUUCCUUUGGGUCUCCCUAUGGAAUGUAAGACCCCGACUCUUCCUGGUGAAGCAUCUGAUGCACGUUCCAUCCGGCGCUCAGCUGGGCUUGAGAAUCCUGUUACACCUGGGAUUUAGGCACUUUCAAUCUGAAAAAAUACAUAUCCUUUCAGCACUCUGGACGGACUUGAGAACUGUCCUUACGUGACCUAAAGCUGGAGUAUUUUGAGAUUGGAGAAUUAAGAGCCAGUCUUGGUGCUCUGUGUUCACCUGGUUCAUCUGAGGAGCUGCAUCUACCCUGCCCAUGCCAUAGAUCCUGCCCUGUUUGCUUCUCCUGUUGCUGCUAGUGGACAUGAGGUAACCACAGCCUAGUUCUGUGAUAAGCUCUUCACACCUGUACCCAUAUGGACUGUGGGAGAGUUUCUCUGAUAUGGACUGUGAUGCGGAAGGACAGAAUAACGGGCUCCCAGAUUCACAAGCCCCACCAAGAGGAUCACCCCAGGAACGCUUGGAGGCUGAGGAGUUCACUGAGGCUACUGCAUCUUGAGACUCAGGAUGAAGACCCAGCUUGGGGCUGUCAAAGGUUUUUUGCAUGUCUGACACCCAUGACUCCACCUGGACCUUAUGGCUCCACCCAGAAGCAAUUCAGCCCAACAGGAGGACAGCUUCAACCCAUUACGAUUUCAUCUCUG
rnacentral:lncRNA from 1 species